UCUUCCUCCUCCUCCUCUUCCUCUGUUUUGCUUUUGUGUUGCUGUUAGGUUCUUGGAUAGUUUGAUGAAUGAUACUGUGCAGCAGCAGCAGCAGUAGUAAUUCAUAGUGGGCGGUGUGAUAGCAGCAGUGAGAUCGAGGAGAGGAUGGAGGUGUUCAUCCACGAGGACUACGUGAACAAGCGCAACGAGCUGAGGAGGGAGCAGAGGCGCCGGGAACUGCAGAGGCUGCAGGUGGAGAGCAACCCCGACGCGUCCAGGGAGGCGCUGGCAAGCCGGGAGAGCCCGAGGACGCCGGCCCAGUGCCUGACGCCGACCGGCGCGUCGCCGUCCAGCUUCAGAUCCCCGACUUCGAGGAGCACGCUGCAGUCGCCGGCCGCAGCGGCGGGGCAGGCUGCCGGUUGGCCGUCGGAGCAUCGCCGCCUCUACGACUGCCUCAAGCCGUACUAGUAGGUAGGCGGACGUGGAGUGGCCUCAAUCCGGCUGCAUACACGGCCAGACGUGGCAUGGCAUGGCAUGUCGUCCAACCGAAUAAAGCGUGGAGACACUCCCUGUGGUCAAAGCAGUGCUUCUGUUGCUGCUCGUACUGUGCGGUUCAGAUCUGUGCCAUGGCAUGGUCAAGUGAACUGAGGCUGAUCUGCUCUGUUCCACUGUCAUAUGGUCACAGCAAUCUUUGAUUCAGUUUCAAGGACGACGUCCAGAACUGCCCAGUACUGUUUGGCCUGUUGUGCAUCAGAAAUUCAGAAGAGUCAAGGAGUUCCAAUAAUGCAAUAGCCAUUUUUAGUUAGCCCCAUAGAAAACCUACCUGCUUCGAUGCUGCUGCUCGUUAGAUAGAUAGAUAGGGGGUCUUACUUGUAUUUUUCUCUUUAUAAGCGGUUUUGAACUCCUGUAUUUGUAUAUGUAUUUGGGCUAGUUGCCUAAUAAAUAAUAAGUCCUAUUCAU